UUUAGUCUUACAACGGUAUCAUGCACGCGUUAACAAAAUUGCACUUUUGAUUCAGAUAUUUGCAUUGAAAGAUAUUGUUAACCUAAUUGUAAACAACAUAAUUCACUUGUUCACAUCAUUUUGUUUAGACUGGUGUUUGUUUAGACAUUACUUACUCAGUCCAUAAUACAGGCCAAUUAAAUUAAUAAUUUUGAUUGUGCAUUUAUUAAUAAAAUAACACGUGCAAGAGUACUUGUACCAAAAAUGCUUCCAAGCCUUGCAUACGGUAGAAAUAGGUUCAAAGUAUUUCAAUAGAACUCGUCUUAUUUUACGCAGCACUUUAACUUUUAACGUUCGGCACAUUUACGUACAGGAUACGAUAGAAGUUUACAUCGUUAGCAUUCUACUGGCUUUUUUGCAGACAGACGGGCAUUUCGCUAGACCAUCGACCAUCGCUAAGGCAUGUUAUGUUCUGAUUGCCAUUCAAUACAAACUGGGUGCUGCAUUCAAAACCAAUUUGCUCUCCAAUGUUAUAGUGGAAUUUCAGAAUCCAUGGAGCGGAUAUCCGGCCAUUAGAAAGGUGACCAGGAUAAUUGCAGCUCGGUGUGCACUGUGGUUCGACUGACCAGUGUCCGCUGUCGGUGCACACCGCGAUGUGGGUGCCCAAUAGAGCAUAACCGGAAUCGCAUGAGUAUUCUAUAACGUUUCCCACCGCGUAUCGCCGGUUUUCUUUUAUCACUGAUCCGUGUUCUGGAGCUGGUGGAUCAGGGCAUAAAAUUUCUGGAAAAAAACAAUUAGCUGUGAAACUGCACACCACCAGCCGAAAGCAACCGUAAGAAACUGAACACACAGUCUAUAUAGCACUGAUGCUGCACCUUGUAUGUAUUACCCUAGUUAAGCUAGAAACAGUAGACAGAAUACCUUAAAACUAUGCGAGUUCUUUUUCUUCAGUUAUUGUAACAUCACACUGGAACGUUUAUCCAUGUGCGCCUAGUAUUAUAACGUUAUACAACGUAUAUUAUACACCCGUUGUCUAAAUAUUUAAGCAACCACUUACUGAGUUUACUGACCAUAUAUAAUAAUUUUAUUUAGAAAUAAUAAUUAUGUGAUUGUACUGUUUGAAGGUUGGUUUGGUUUGCAGUCAGGAAUUUAAUUUACUAGAUCACCUUCACAUGUGGGCGAAUCAUUAGUCCAUUUCCCGUUUUCGUUGCACUUGGCUGCACUAGAGCCUAGCAGUCGGUAGCCGGGUGGGCAAGCGAAUUCAGCCAGACUAUGGAUGUCAUUUGAUGUGCUGUAAAUUCUUAACUUUUGGUCGGUUGUUGUGAUCAUCGGACACAUAAUCGGUAUACAGGUCGGUAUCCUGUUGGACCAGUUGCCGGUUGGGAGGCACUCGAGAUGCGAGGGGCCGUCCAGGCGGUAACCUCGGGAGCAGUUAAAACUGGCAUGGGUUCCCAUUCGUGUCGAUGAAGUAUUAGCCACCAGUUUGUACACAAAUGGAACUAUCAGCGGGCACUCCACCACCUGCACCUUGAUGGAGAUGCUGUUGGAGUUCCCUUUCGGCGUCAUGCAGGAUAAAUUCGGAAUUGAUGCGAAACCAUCCAGCUCGGCGUUCCAUCAGUCCGUUUCCAUAAGCAGUCGAACUGGACAUCCGUACUCGGAUAAACAAUAAGUUCGCCAUUUUUGCUUAUGCCAAUUAUCCCAGCUGUCUUUCUGUACAGUAUAGCCGGUGUUGCAUGAAGUUGCGGCUCUUUGGUAAUUAAACUCUCGCACUGGGGAAUUCCAUUAUUCCACGUCCCGUCCAUGCAGGACGUUCGCGGCGGACCCGACAACCGGAAAAUUCCCAAAUGCUCACAAUGAAACAGCAGUUCUGUCUUCUCAUCAAAAACGCGGGGAAACACGGCAUUCACCUUUCCGAGAUUGAUACGCUGGUUUCCGUUGUAUGCGUACAUAUGCGGAAUACUAUCGGGAAUAGCACAACCUGCCGGAUCGCGGGUGAUGUUUUUUUCGUUUUUUUCAUCACAUAAGCUUUUUCGUUCGACCCAUAAUCCAUCUAAGCACUUGAUGAUUUUAUGUUGGUGCGUGACGUUAUGAAGCGAGUGACCUUUGGGAUAACAGGGGAUUUCCAGUUCGCUGCCGCUUCGGUAUUUGUUUCCAUCGGCUUCGCAUUCCGCAUUUUCUACCAGUGCUGCUGGAACUGCCACCUCUUGGUACUGACCAAUACAUUCCGGUGCUCUGGGCGUUAGCCUUCCCAGAUCGCAGCGCACGACGGUGGUGGGUGAUUUGCGAUAUCCAUCGGCACAAUGGAAGCCAAUAAUACUGUUGUGCGACACUUGCAGCCCGCUCCGAUAGCCGCCAUUGUAUGAGCCAUGAGCAAUAUCACUGAGAUGACAGGAUGCCGGAAUGCAUUCAGGAAUAGUUGGUGGAACAAACUGGCCCGCUGAGCAAUGGAGUUGUUCUGGACCAGUGAUCUUGUAUCCUGCUAUGCAUGAGAAAUCUAUGACAGCACUGUCGACCAGCUCCGUCCAUGCGGCAACCGUCUGGUUUCCAGGCAGAAGCACGAACUGGCCGUUCAUGGUUUCCGGAACUCUACAAAUCGGCGCUUCUCCUGUCCAGUUUCCAUAAUCACACAUAACUGUAUCUCCGCCAACAAUCCGGUAGCCUUUGUUACAGGCAAAACGCGCCUUCAUGCCAUGAUCUGUUUUGGGAGCAAUGACGAAGCCUUGACGAGGACUCGGUGGAGGUGUUUUACAGCUUGCCGGCUGACAAGUGGGAAUAUGCAGCAGGCUGCCGUUGAAACACUUGGGAGAGAUUGUGCUGUAGGCCAGCUCAUAUUUCGACAGGCAGGACACAUUUAGUACGUCUCCGUGACUAAUAUAUUCCCCUGGAGACCCAUUGGCGUUACCGUUUUCAAUAUACGGAAUGAUGCAGGAAGCUAGAACAUCAACACACUGUGAUUCGUAUUAAUGACCGCAGUAGAGUGUUUGCUCGUAAAAUUAAAAUUACUGCUACGUACUCGUAACGAUGUCAUGUUAGUUUACCGUAGCAUUUUGGUGGCGCAUGCGACCAUUUUCCGUCAGCUUGGCACUUGGCAGAGUUGGCUGUCCCGCCGAAUUUCAUGCCCUUAUUGCAGAAAUAAAAUAUUACUGAGUUGUAUGUUGUUGAAGAUCCGUUAUAACCUCCGUUAUUAAUGGGCGGA